UACCCUUUCUAUUAACGUCUCUCACGGGUCCUCUCCCUCCUUUUCCUCACCUUUCCCCUGCCUCUUCACCCCUCUCUGUUUAUCCUCUUCCUACUUUCCUUUCUUACAUAUAGACUCCCCUUCCACGAGAACACAAAACAUUCUCCAUGUUUUUGGAUUCUCAAUCUGAAUUAAGAUCCAGACUUCUGUUAUAUCGACCAUCAGAACCAUAAACAACACUUGUUAUGUUCUUCUUCACUUGCUUCUGCUGUCUUCUCAUCCUAGAGUUUUUCUCUACUUUUCUUGUACGCGGGUUUCAUGCCUGUAAGAUAGUUAUUGGUCACGAGAUUCUUCGAUCUCCUCUAAUGUCUUCCCAAGUUUGCUAAUGUGCGGGGGCAAUUCUUUUAGCAAUAUUUUGUUUGACUAGUUAACAUACAGGGUCCGGUGUUCAUGCUCUGCAUCCACGAGUGAGAAAGGAUAAAAGUUCCGCUCUUGCCCUUUUCAUAUUCCAACAAUCCGAUACUUGUGAACCAAGCAGAACUCGGUUCCGUUGUCAGACAAGCCACAGCAACAGAGAGAAGAACAUGGAAGAGAGUUUGCUACCAAGAGAGGUUGACGAGAAAGGGCAGGGUAUUAUUGGUCCAACUCCAACCCCAACAUGGGGUGUAUUCAUUCAAGAAGUGAAAAGACUUGGUUACAUAGCGGGACCUAUGGUGGCUGUGAUUCUAACACAGUACUCCUUGCAAGUUAUAUCCAUGAUGAUGGUUGGUCACCUUGGUGAGCUUGCCCUCUCUAGUGCCGCCAUGGCUCUCUCUCUUUCCGGUGUCACCGGUUUCAGUCUCAUGAUGGGGAUGGCAAGUGCAUUGGAAACUCUAUGCGGGCAGGCUUAUGGAGCUAAGCAAUAUAAAAAACUUGGAACUCAAACUUAUACAGCAAUUUUCUGCCUAAACUUAGUCUGUAUCCCUCUAUCUGUCAUAUGGAUCUACAUGGGAAAGAUACUCCAUUUCACUGGUCAAGAUCCAGCAAUUUCGCAUGAAGCCGGAAAAUUUAUAGUGUGGCUUGUUCCUGCACUCUUUGCUUAUGCAACUCUUCAGCCACUUGUUAGAUAUUUUCAGACACAAAGUUUUAUCAUGCCCAUGCUGAUUAGCUCUUGUGCCACUCUUUGUUUCCAUAUACCUCUCUGCUGGGCCUUAGUAUACAAGUCUGGGCUAAAAAAUGUGGGAUCUGCGGUAGCAAUGGGUAUUUCAUAUUGGUUGAAUGUAAUCUUUCUUGGAUUAUACAUAAAGUACUCUUCCGCCUGUGCAAAAACUCGUGUUCCAAUUUACAAGGAGUUAUUCUACGGGGUCGGAGAGUUUUUCCGCUUCGCCAUCCCAUCUGCAGUAAUGAUCUGCCUUGAGUGGUGGUCAUUUGAGCUGCUUAUCUUGCUCUCAGGGUUCUUACCAAAUCCACAGCUUGAAACUUCAGUCCUAUCCGUGUGUCUCAUGACUAUUUCAACACUUUAUGGAAUACCAUUUGGACUUGGUGCCGCAGCAAGCACUAGAGUCGCAAAUGAACUAGGAGCUGGGAACCCACGAGCGGCGCGUUUAGCUGUCUAUGCUGCGAUGUUUCUUGCAGUUUCAGAGACAAUUAUAGUAACUUCAGCCCUUUUUGCCAGCAGGCGUGUUUUUGGCUAUCUUUUCAGCAAUGAAAAGGAAGUAAUUGAUUAUGUCACAACGAUGGCCCCUCUGGUUUGUCUGUCGGUUAUAAUGGACAGCUUACAAGGAGUACUUUCAGGGGUUGCAAGAGGGUGUGGAUGGCAGCAUAUAGGGGCUUAUAUAAAUCUCGGAGCCUUCUAUCUUUGUGGGAUUCCAGCUGCUGCCUUGUUGGCUUUCUGGUUAAAUUUAGGAGGCAUGGGCCUUUGGAUUGGAAUUCAAACCGGUGCCUUCACUCAAACAAUUUUACUCUCUAUUGUCACGAGCUGCACAAAUUGGGAAAAACAGGCAAGAAUGGCAAGGGAGAGGAUUUUUGAAGGUCAUGACAAUGGAUUAAUGUGAUUCGAGAGAUAUGACCAGUGAUCUAGUUUUGCUAUGUAUUAGAGAUUGUAAAAGGGAAAGUCUGAUUAAGCUGAUGAGAUCCCAUGUCAAAAUCCUAUCGGCGUUCCGAGGAGGAGAAACUCUGAGGUUACUCAUUUGUUCUUUGGGUAGUGUGUGUGUACAUCUACAUAUAUCGUAUUUUAAUCCUCUACGUUUUCACCGUAGAAUACUUUGUACAUCGAGCAAAUCAGCUUUAAGACUCGAGGCAAAUCUUCAAGGUAGUAUUUUGUGCAAUUGCGUGGGACGAGAUUGCUCUUAAUCUUUGCCUAAUUUCGUUUUUAAGUUUUAAGUUGGAAAUGAUUUGGUGCUA